CCUCAGCAGCCGCGGCCGCCGCCUCUCCAUAGACACCCUCGCCGCGGGGCAGAGGCGGCGCGCCCCCCUGCGCAUGCGCCCGCCCCGUCGGCGCGCGCGCCCGGCCUACUCGGCCGGCCGGGGCGCGGGGACGCGCGGGCCGCCGCCAUGCGGUCCCCGAGGCCCACGUGACCAGGCGCGCGGCGGCGGCGGCGGCUCCGGCGGCGGUAGCGGCUGGAGCUCUCUCUUACCUGCUGGGUUCUUUUCGUGCUUGUGUCCUUCGCUUGCUGAGGAGAGAAACCCAAGUCUUUACACUAUUUGUUUCGCAACAUAAAACACAUUAUCCGAAGGCAGGGGGUGUCGUCUUGGAGGCCCUCUCAGCGCUGCCGCUACGCCCACCAGGCCUUGAGGCCGAGGCCGCCGAGCACAAUGGCCGCGCUCGGGCCGGGAGCUCUGCCUGGCCGCCGCGGGCCGUGCCGCCCAUUCGCCCGGGUGGCUGUUCUGGGCGCCACUGGGCCCUCCUAGGCCGCCCUUUGCCUCCCUGCCAUGCCCAGGUGGCGGGCUCGACCUCCCUGCCCGCUGGUCAAAGGCCCCGGCUAAUGGGUGGCCCAGGACCGGGGUUCCAAGAACUUAGGACCCACAGGGAAACGGUGCCGCGUGAACCGACUGGACACUGGCCGCCCCUCCGCUCGGGGCGGGCGCCCAGCCUGGGUCUGGGGGCAGGGCGGCAUCUCCUCCCCAGCAGGCCGGAGGGGAGGGCAGCGUGGAAUUCUGGCGCCUCCAAGGAAGGAAAAAUGUCCCUUGGGAAUCAGGGAGGCUGGAAUGUACCUCAAGCACAGAAACACCAGUUUUGCUGUAACCCAGAAUUUGAAGCUCUGCAGUCAGCUCAACAAGAAUAACAGCCACUUUGGACUCUGGCCAUUUCAGGGAAUUUGUUCAAGAUGACAAAAUGAAAGAAAUAAAGUGAUAAAAAAAUAAAUAAGUCCUGUGGAU
rnacentral:lncRNA from 1 species